UAGGGAAUCUUCCGCAAUGGACGCAAGUCUGACGGAGCAACGCCGCGUGAGUGAAGAAGGAUUUCGGUUCGUAAAACUCUGUUGUUAGAGAAGAACAGCGCAUAGAGUAACUGUUAUGCGUGUGACGGUAUCUAACCAGAAAGCCACGGCUAACUACGUGCCAGCAGCCGCGGUAAUACGUAGGUGGCAAGCGUUUUCCGGAUUUAUUGGGCGUAAAGCGAGCGCAGGCGGUCAAUUAAGUCUGAUGUGAAAGCCCCCGGCUCAACCGGGGAGGGUCAUUGGAAACUGGUUGACUUGAGUGCAGAAGAGGAGAGUGGAAUUCCAUGUGUAGCGGUGAAAUGCGUAGAUAUAUGGAGGAACACCAGUGGCGAAGGCGACUCUCUGGUCUGUAACUGACGCUGAGGCUCGAAAGCGUGGGUAGCAAACAGG
rnacentral:rRNA from 1 species